CAAAAGGCUCUUUUCAGAGCCAUUCAAAAGUUUAAGGAGUUGUGA
rfam:Fukomys damarensis contig114729, whole genome shotgun sequence.